UGGACGUUCAGAGAGAUGGCCUCAUUUUGUCUCCCCAAGUAACACUUAUGUGUGAUGGAGCCCUGCUUUCCUGGAGAUGUCUGAACACCUGCCUGCCCGCCCAUGGGA